rnacentral:rRNA from 1 species
UACGGAGGGUGCAAGCGUUGUCCGGAUUUAUUGGGUUUAAAGGGUGCGUAGGCGGCAGAUUAAGUCAGCGGUGAAAUUCCAUAGCUCAACUGUGGAACUGCCAUUGAUACUGGUUUGCUUGAGUACAGAUGAGGUAGGCGGAAUUGACAGUGUAGCGGUGAAAUGCUUAGAUAUUGUCAAGAACACCUAUUGCGAAGGCAGCUUACUAAGCUGUAACUGACGCUGAGGCACGAAAGCGUGGGGAUCAAACAGG